GGGGGGGGGGGGGGGGGGGCGGGGGGGGGGGGGGGCGGGGGGGGGCAGGGGAGGAGCGGGCGCGUGCGGGUGGCGAGGGGCGGACGGGUGAGGAAUACAUCGGAAUCUACUUUGUCGUGGGGGAUAACGUAGGGAAACGGACGCUAAUACCGCAUACGACCUACGGGUGAAAGCAGGGGAUCUUCGGGCCUUGCGCGACUGAAUGAGCCGAUGUCGGAUUAGCUAGUUGGCGGGGUAAAGGCCCACCAAGGCGACGAUCCGUAGCUGGUCUGAGAGGAUGAUCAGCCACACUGGAACUGAGACACGGUCCAGACUCCUACGGGAGGCAGCAGUGGGGAAUAUUGGACAAUGGGCGCAAGCCUGAUCCAGCCAUACCGCGUGGGUGAAGAAGGCCUUCGGGUUGUAAAGCCCUUUUGUUGGGAAAGAAAAGCAGCAGGUUAAUACCCCGCUGUUCUGACGGUACCCAAAGAAUAAGCACCGGCUAACUUCGUG
rnacentral:rRNA from 1 species